rnacentral:misc_RNA from 1 species
UCCAUCAAAAUUGCAUGAAAUAUGGCCGACCCGACACUGAGUUCAUGAAAUGGAGAUGGAAACCUGAUGAGUGUGAGCUACCUGUUUUCGACCCUGCUGAGUUCCUGGAAAUUGUUAGAGGCAAAUCUAUGGCCUUUGUUGGAGACUCUGUGGGUAGAAACCAAAUGCAGUCUUUGAUAUGCCUUCUUUCCAGGGUAAGUGUUAUUAAUUACCAUCUGUAUGUUCAUUUUUUUUAUAUGCUGAAAUUCUUUAUGCUUAGGUGGGUUUGACGAAGUCUAUAUGCGCAUGGAAAUUUCAUCACCAGAAUUAGUAAGAACUAUUUUGUAUUGAUUUCUCGUUGUUUUAAUGAUCUAUAAGUUAAGUUGACAAGAAAUGGCCUGACAAUAUAUUUAAUCAAAUACUGUAAACGUUAACAUUUGAUCAAAUAAAUGUUCUUCAUCCUGGCGUUAAAGCUGAAAAUUAAGCUGGUGAUAUACUGUGUCUUUUAGCCUUUAUUUUCAAGCAGUGAAAGCAGACUGGAAUCUGUCCUUUCCCCUACACUAGGUAAAACAUGUCGGGAGUAUUCGCAUAACUCUCUCUUUAUUUGAGCCUUUGUUUUUUUUCCCUGUAACUGAAAAUUUUAUUUUUUGCUUCAAAGGCCGUCAAAAAUACAAAAUCAACAUAAAAAUUCUUGUAACUUAUGGAUGUGUGUUAAAAAGUCCAACUCUUAUCAAUCUAUAUGCAGAAUUAACGUUUUUACAGUGCCAUAAGUUUUGAUUUGAAUGAAUUAGGUUGAUUAGUUGACCUAAGUCAUUAUGUAAUUCAAAGAUUAGGUAAAUGAAAGAUGUUAUGUAACAUGUUGGCAUGACAUCGAAUCUUCACAAUCAUGCAUGUUAUUGUUCUAAAAACCUAAUUAAUUAAUUAAUGUACUGGUUUGGAUGAACCGUUAAGAGUAAGCUUUUGCUUUUAAGCUCCUAUAUAAUUAUUGGUUUAUGAUGUUUGGUAAAUACUGUAGGAAUAAAUUUUUUAAAUCAAUGAUUAGCAGUUCAAAGUUGUAAUAUACUGAAUGUUAUUGGGAUUUCUAGUUUUGGUUCCCUAUCAUAUACAAAUAUGUGAGACCCACCUAUUUAAUAGGUGGGUCCAAUCAUAUAUCUUGUGUCUUGAAUUAGGUACAGGUCUAAACAAGAAAAAUCUUAAUUAAAAACUUAAUUUUCCUACUAAUAUAUUUGAAAACUCUAUAUGUGCUUUUUGAAGAAGAUGCCACACAAAUCUCUCUUGACUAUGAAAUUGACUGGCAACUAAAAUACCACGAAACUCAAACUGGUUUUAAUUUAAUUUUACUUGUAUCCAACAAACAUUAAAGUGUAGUAGUUAUAUAUGAUUAGUGCUACUAAUAUUCUCACAUAUACACAACAUUUAAGUUUGGCAAGGUAAUGACAAGCUUUUGUCUAAUUGGUUUAAGGAUUUUUUUUACUUAGACUCGGUCUACCACGACGAUAUAUGGUGAAAUCUAUCUUUUAAAUAUAUAAAUAUCACAUAUUUAUAUAUUAAAUCUAUAAUAAACUGAUUUGAGUAAGAAUUUCCCUUUCGUCUGAUCUAAGUAAGAAUUUCCCUUUCGUUCCUAUUAAUGCCCUAAUUAAGUACUUGAUGAAACUCUAAUUUCAGGUGGAAUAUCCCAUAGAUGUUUCAUAUACACCAGAUGAGCAAUUCAAACGUUGGAGGUACCCAUCUUACAAUUUCACCAUGGCAACAUUUUGGUCACCCCAUUUAGUGAAGGCAGAAGAAGCAGAUGCCAAUGGACCAACCCACACUGGCCUUUUCAAUCUCUACCUUGAUCAAUUCAAUGAAGAAUGGACUACCCAGAUCGAAGAAUUCGAUUAUCUCAUCAUAAAUGCUGGCCAUUGGUUCUUUCGUCCAUCUAUUUACUACGAAAAUCGCCAAAUUGUUGGUUGCCGCUUUUGCCUCUUAGACAAUGUCACAGAUUUGCCAAUGUCCUAUGGGUACAGAAUGGCUUUUAGGACUGCCUUUAGAGCUAUUAAUAGCUUAGAGAAUUUUAAGGGCAUAACCUUCCUUAGGACAUUUGCACCUUCACACUUUGAAAAUGGCGAGUGGAACCGAGGGGGUAAUUGCUUGAGAACAAGACCUUUUAGGACCAAUGAAACCAAAUUAGAGGGUAUAAACUUGGACCUCUAUGUGACCCAAUUAGAGGAGUUUAAGCUUGCCGAAAGGGAAGGGAAUAAAGUGGGCUUAAAGUUUAGGUUGCUUGACACCACACAGGCCAUGUUGCUGAGACCAGAUGGUCACCCGAGUAGAUAUGGGCAUUGGCCACAUGAAAAUGUCACAUUGUAUAAUGAUUGUGUGCACUGGUGCUUGCCUGGACCAAUUGACACAUGGAGUGAUUUCUUGCUGGAGAUGUUGAAGAUGGAAGGCGGCGGUCAUGAUAAGAACUCAAAUCAGGAGAAGCUUCAUUCAAGUGACAGGAAAAUGAAGUUCAGAUAAAUUCAUUUCUUUGUAAAUUUUUUUUUAGCUUUUAUUAAUUUAGUGGUUCUUUAUUUUUGUAUUUCAGGCUUGUGGUGGAUUAAUUUGUAAAUCUAGAUUCAUGCAAUGAGAUGGAUGCAUAUACGAUGAUGAGCUUCAUAUUACUAAAGAAUAAUACUUGUGUUCAUAAUUAAAAUAUUCUAAAUUGUAAGCUUUGGUGGGCAGAUUCUUCAUAUUAACUACAAAUAUUGCAUAUACGAUGAUGAGCUUCAUAUUACUAAAGAAUAAUACUUGUGUUCAUAAUUAAAAUAUUCUAAAUUGUAAGCUUUGGUGGGCAGAUUCUUCAUAUUAACUACAAAUAU